rnacentral:rRNA from 1 species
CCUACGGGACGCAGCAGUGGGGAAUAUUGGACAAUGGGCGAAAGCCUGAUCCAGCCAUGCCGCGUGUGUGAAGAAGGCCUUCGGGUUGUAAAGCACUUUCAGUGGGGAAGAAAGCCUUGGGGCUAAUACCCUCGAGGAAGGACAUCACCCACAGAAGAAGCACCGGCUAACUCCGUGCCAGCAGCCGCGGUAAUACGGAGGGUGCGAGCGUUAAUCGGAAUUACUGGGCGUAAAGCGCGCGUAGGCGGUCUGAUAAGCCGGUUGUGAAAGCCCCGGGCUCAACCUGGGAACGGCAUCCGGAACUGUCAGGCUAGAGUGCAGGAGAGGAAGGUAGAAUUCCCGGUGUAGCGGUGAAAUGCGUAGAGAUCGGGAGGAAUACCAGUGGCGAAGGCGGCCUUCUGGACUGACACUGACGCUGAGGUGCGAAAGCGUGGGUAGCAAACAGGAUUAGAUACCCCGGUAGUC